CCUACGGGAGGCAGCAGUGGGGAAUAUUGCACAAUGGGGGAAACCCUGAUGCAGCGACGCCGCGUGAGUGAUGAAGGACCUCGGCGUGUAAAGCUCUGUCAGCAGGGAAGAAAAUUACGGUACCUGACUAAGAAGCCCCGGCUAACUACGUGCCAGCAGCCGCGGUAAUACGUAGGGGGCAAGCGUUAUCCGGAUUUACUGGGCGUAAAGGGGGCGUAGACGGCGGUGCAAGCCAGGUGUGAAAGCCCGGGGCUCAACCCCGGGACUGCUUUUGAAACUGCGAGGCUGGAGUGCAGGAGAGGCAGGCGGAAUUCCUGGUGUAGCGGUGAAAUGCGUAGAUAUUAGGAGGAACACCGGUGGCGAAGGCGGCUUACUGGACUGCAACUGACGUUGAGGCUCGAAAGCGUGGGGAGCAAACAGGAUUAGAUACCCUUGUAGUC
rnacentral:rRNA from 1 species